GAAAUUAUUGUGCUUGAAGUAUUUAGGAAGUAAAUCUCGAGCAAAUUCAGCCGGUCGCCAAACUAUGAAGGUAGAUCCAUCUUCAUUCCACGAGAUGAGAUCGUCCACAGCCGGAUCAUCAACCAAUUGAUAAGUUUUCGUUAGAAACGGCGUCGGUAUAGAUCUCUGAGAAUCUCCUGUUCCAGAAUCGCCGAUCGGUUCCGCCGGCGACGGCGCCAUCGCCUCUUCUCCCAGAUCUGAACCGCAAGGAUCUCCGAUUUUCAACAACUCUCGUCUCAAUCUGAGGGAGAAUCUGGAAUCGGAAUCGGAGGAGUAAAGAAGAGCGCGGCGCCUG
rnacentral:misc_RNA from 1 species